rnacentral:rRNA from 1 species
AUUGAACGCUGGCGGCAGGCCUAACACAUGCAAGUCGAGCGGAUGAAGGGAGCUUGCUCCUGGAUCCAGCGGCGGACGGGUGAGUAAUGCCUAGGAAUCUGCCUGGUAGUGGGGGAUAACGUCCGGAAACGGGCGCUAAUACCGCAUACGUCCUGCGGGAGCAAGUGGGGGAUCUUCGGACCUCACGCUAUCAGAUGAGUCUAGGUCGGAUUAGCUAGCUGGUGGGGUAAAGGCCUACUAAGCCGACGAUCCGUAACUGGUCUGAGAGGAUGAUCAGUCACACUGGAGCGGAGACACGGUCCAUGCUCCUGCGAUAGGCAGCAGUGGGGAAUAUUGGACAGUAGGCGAAAGCCUGGUCCAGCCGUGCGGCGUGUGUGAAGAAGGUCUUCGGAUUGGAAAGCACGUUAAGUUGGGGGAAAGGGCAUUAAGUUAAUACCUUGCUUUAUUGACGGUACCAGCAGAAGAAGCACCGGCUAACUACGUG